UUAAGGUGGAGUCAUAGCAACAUCUCAAUCGCAAUACCGAAUUGUGUCUCACGACGUGAUUUGGCUCCAUUGGAGUGCGAGAGUUCAUUCAAGUAUCUUCCCUAUCAGCUUGACGGUAGUGUAUCGCACUAUCGUGGCUUUAACGGGUAACGGGGAAUUAGGGUUCGAUUCCGGAGAGGCAGCCUGAGAGACGGCUACCACAUCCAAGGAAGGCAGCAGGCACGUAAAUUAUCCAAUCCUGACACGAGGAGAUAGUGACAAGUGGUAACGAUACCGAGACUUUUUAGUUUUGGUAAUCGGAAUGAGGAAAGUGUAAAAAUCUUAGCGAGGAUCCAAUGGAGGGCAAGUCUGGUGCCAGCAGCCGCGGUAAUUCCAGCUCCAUUAGUGUAUAUUAAAGUUGUUGCGGUUAAAAAGCUCGUAGUUGGAUAUCUGAAUUAGUUAGCCUGACCCAUGUUAAGUCUUUGAUUUAGCUUGUGUUUGUCGGAGCUGACUCGUUCAUCUAUUUCAAGUAUACAUCAUGUUUUGGCUUUAUUGCUAGAAUGUGAUGGAACACUUGAAUCGUUUACUUUGAAUAAAGGAGUAUGUUUAAAGUAGGCUAUACACGUCAUUGUAUUUUUUAGCAUGGAAUAAUAAAUUAGGGCUUUGUGUUUCUUUUUUAUUGGUUACGAAUCUACAUGAGCAAUGAUUAAUUGGGCAGGUUGGGAGUGCUAAUAUUGAUUGGGAAGGAGUGAAACCCUAUGAUCCUUUCAAGAUUUCCAAAAGCGUAAGCAUUCACUAAGGCCUGUUUCUUUAAUCAAGAACGAAAGUUGGGGGAGCGAAGACGAUUAGAUACCGUCGUAGUCCCAACUGUAAACAAUAUCACCUCGGGAUAUGUCCCGUUGACCUUUUCUCUUGCGUUGCCAUGCACCGUUCGAGAAAUCAAAGGGUUCAGAUUCCGGGGGGAGUACAGUCGCAAGUCUGAAACUUAAAGGAAUUGACGGAAGGGCACCACCAGGUGUGGAGCCUGCGGCUUAAUUUGACUCAACACGGGACAACUUACCAGGACAGGACAUAGUAAGGAUUGAUAGGUUAGCGAUCUUUCUUGAUUCUAUAGGUGGUGGUGCAAGGCCGUUCUUAGUUCGUGGAGUGAUUUGUCUGGUUAAUUCCG
rnacentral:rRNA from 1 species